CGGGUGCGUAACGCGUAUGCAAUCUACCUUUUACAGGAGAAUAGCCCAGAGAAAUUUGGAAUAAUGCUCCAUAAUAUCAUUUACCAGCAUUGAUUUAUGAUUAAAGCUCCGGCGGUAAAAGAUGAGCAUGCGUCCUAUUAGCUAGUAGGUGAGGUAACGGCUCACCUAGGCUACGAUAGAUAGGGGCCCUGAGAGGGGGAUCCCCCACACUGGUACUGAGACACGGACCAGACUCCUACGGGAGGCAGCAGUGAGGAAUAUUGGACAAUGGAGGCAACUCUGAUCCAGCCAUGCCGCGUGCAGGAUGACUGCCCUAUGGGUUGUAAACUGCUUUUAUAUAGGAAGAAACACUCCCACGUGUGGGGGCUUGACGGUACUAUAUGAAUAAGGAUCGGCUAACUCCGUGCCAGCAGCCGCGGUAAUACGGAGGAUCCAAGCGUUAUCCGGAAUCAUUGGGUUUAAAGGGUCCGCAGGCGGCCUGUUAAGUCAGAGGUGAAAUCCUACAGCUCAACUGUAGAACUGCCUUUGAUACUGAUAGGCUUGAGUUAUUGUGAAGUGGUUAGAAUGUGUGGUGUAGCGGUGAAAUGCUUAGAUAUCACACAGAACACCCAUUGCGAAGGCAGAUCACUAACCACAUACUGACGCUCAUGGACGAGAGCGUGGGGAGCGAACGGGAUUAGAGACCCCGGGAGUCCACGCCGUAAACGAUGGA
rnacentral:rRNA from 1 species